rnacentral:lncRNA from 1 species
AGCCCCGACGGCGGCGGAGCGGGAGCGGCCGCCCCUAUAAUUUAUUCCUCGGACUGGCCCGGCCCGGCCGCCCGCCCGCAGCGCUAUUUAUUGGGGCGCCGGCCGCAGCAGAAGUAGCCAAAGGUUUGCGAUCUCUAAUUUAUUCCCUCCCCCGCGGGGCCGCCGGAGCCCCCGCUGCGGCCGCCGGGCUCGCCCCGAGGGCACCGCGCCGCGCUCCCGGCCCGUUUCUAUUUAUUUUCUAACCGUGCGCGGAGCUCUGCCCCUCCCGUUGGUAGGUUCGGUUCGUUCCCCCCACCCCACCCCACGCCCCCCUCCCUUCCCCCCUUUGGUUUCGGUUUUUUGUUUGUAUCUUUAUUGCAAAAACCACUGUAGACUGCGAGGGUGCGUUUCUAUUUAUGUUAUAGUAAAUAUUUUAUUACUUACAUAAACCAUUUACCCAGGAACCGGUCUCGUGUCGUCUUUGCGGGCUGCGGGGACGGGACCGGGCUCCCGACGUGACCCCCGAGGUGUCGCCGUUGUCCUGAGGCUGCCCCCGUUGGCCCCCCGCUCCCCGGGGGGCUCCGUCGGGGCGCUUGUGCGAGCGGCCGGCCGCGGCGCUCGGACGCGCGGCGCUGGGGGUGCGGAGCCUUUCGCUGCCCCGACCGCAACUUUUUGCCGUCCAGGAAGCGUGACUUCUCCCCGCCGCUCACCGAAAUAACGAAAUAACGCACCGCAGGGUAGCGAAGAAGACUCCCUCUCCUCACCCCAAGCGCGCUCCGGGGUUUUCCGAUGCCACCGCUUUCCCCCCUCCUCCGUGGUUUCGUGCCCCGCUGGCUUGUGGUUACGCCAAGAGAGGCUGAAAAUGUCGCUGCCGUGCUCUCUGUUUGUGGAAGGAUCAGCUCGCAGCUCUCCUUAACCUCUUCUCUUGCAGCAGACGCCAAGAAAAGUCGCACUGAAGGUGUGAGCUUGUACAGUUGGACCAGGAGCCAAGCGCAUGAAGGUAGGACUGUGCUGUUGGUACACGAAGGAAAAACAGACGUAUAAAGAGCUGCUUAGCAAGGCACAAAAAAACUGAAGAAUAUUCCAAGUAGGACGUGCAGAAUAUUCCAAGUAGGACAAGGAAAGGGCAGGGGAGCUCUGCGCAUCCAUGACCCAGG